AUUUUGAACCAGGCUGUAAACAGGUUUAAUUCUGCUCUAAAGUCUGGCGUUUUAACAUGGGAGUCAAUUCCCAUUGACUCCCUCUUGGAGCCAGCCUCAAGUGGCCACCCAGUGAACUGCAGUUAUUUGCACUUCCGUAUUGGCCUCAGCGCUCAGCCCGGGAUGUUGCCGCUUGGUGUGGAGCCAAUGCUAGCGGCCCUGCCUCCCCCCACAGAGACAAAGAGACUGGAUGACUGACAAGAGGGUUCACUCUGUUCAUUCCGCUAUGGAACAAACGCCCCCAGGUGCUGAGACCGAGCUCAGAGUGAACCCUCUUGUCAUCCAGCCUGCUUGGAGGCGAGAGA
rnacentral:misc_RNA from 1 species